rnacentral:rRNA from 1 species
UACGAAGGGUGCAAGCGUUACUCGGAAUUACUGGGCGUAAAGGGUGCGUAGGUGGUUUGUUAAGUCUGCUGUGAAAUCCCCGGGCUCAACCUGGGAAUGGCAUUUGGGACUGCAAGGCUCGAGUGCGGCAGAGGAGACUGGAAUUCCUGGUGUAGCAGUGAAAUGCGUAGAUAUCAGGAGGAAUACCGAUGGCGAAGGCAGGUCUCUGGGCUGACACUGACGCUCAUGCACGAAAGGCGUGGGGAGCAAACAGG